rnacentral:rRNA from 1 species
GGGCGGGUUUCGCCCGCCACCAGGACCACACCAUAAACCUUUUUUAUGCAGUUGCAAUCAGCGUCAGUAUAACAAAUGUAAAUCAUUUACAACUUUCAACAACGGAUCUCUUGGUUCUGGCAUCGAUGAAGAACGCAGCGAAAUGCGAUACGUAGUGUGAAUUGCAGAAUUCAGUGAAUCAUCGAAUCUUUGAACGCACAUUGCGCCCUUUGGUAUUCCAAAGGGCAUGCCUGUUCGAGCGUCAUUUGUACCUUCAAGCUUUGCUUGGUGUUGGGCGUCUUUUUGUCUUGGGCCUUUUGUGCCCUGAGACUCGCCUUAAAACGAUUGGCAGCCGGCCUACUGGUUUCGGAGCGCAGCACAUUUUUGCGCUUGCAAUCAGCAAAAGAGGCCAGCCAUCCAUCAAGACCAUUCUUCUCACUUUUGACCUCGGAUCAGGUAGGGAUACCCGCUGAACUUAAGCAUAUC